CCUCCCAGACCCAGAGGAACAACAAAGCACGCCACGUCGCCCGAUUCCACUACUAGGGUUUUAACUCUCCCGCCACCACCGCCACCGCCGCCGCCACUCCCAGCGAGAGCCCCGAGUCCACGAAGCCAUGGCGGGGAAGAAGCGCAAGUCCGGCUCCGAGAAGCAGCCGAAGCAUCGCCUCCCGCUCGGCGCGGAUGCCGACGCGGUCGCCGACGCUUCCAAGCGCCGCCGCUCGGGCGCCUCCAAGCAGCACCAGGCGGAUGAGGAGGCGUCCAUCCCGUCCUCCCUCAGCGCCAAGAUCCUCCGCGAGGCGCGCAAGCAGCAGCAGGAGGAGAUGCUCGCCGACUCUGGCGACGAGGGGCCCCCAGCCGCUGCCGCCGGGGCGGCCGCGGGGCCGUCCACGUCGUCCUCGUUCCCAGUCCCCGCCGCAGAUGACGAGGAGGACGACGACGUCGACGAGUUCGACGGGUUUGACGCGCUGAGCGAGUACGACGGCGGCGAGGUGGAGAUCAACGAGGAGGAUGAGAAGGCCCUUGCUGCCUUCAUGUCAAAGGACAAAGCUGCCGAGCGCACACUUGGUGAUAUCAUUCUCCAGAAGAUCCGAGAGAAGGACGCCGAGGUCUCAGCGGAAGGACGGCCUCGUGUAAAAUUGGACAACAGCAUCAUUGCGCUUUAUAAAGAGUAUGUGGCUGCCUUCUUGUUUACUGUGAAAGAAAUAUUGCAUGUCUUCGACCCAGUGCUGACUUGUGUAUAUGUAUGUAGGGUUGGGAAGUUCUUAAGCCGAUACACAAGUGGGAAGAUUCCAAAAGCAUUCAAGCGCAUACCAUCAUUGGAGUGCUGGGCAGAGGUGCUGCAGCUAACUGAGCCAGAGAAUUGGUCCCCUAAUGCAGUAUAUCAAGCAACACGCCUCUUCUCUUCGAACAUGAAUACGAAGAAUGCUGAACGGUUCUAUGAAGCCAUUUUGCUCCCUCGCGUUCGCAAUGACAUAAGGCAGAACAAGAGGCUGCAUUUUGCGCUCUACCAAUCACUCAAAAAGUCCCUUUAUAAACCUGCAGCAUUUAACAAGGGAAUUCUGCUGCCCCUCUGUCGGGAAAGGAAUUGCACUCUCCGUGAAGCAGUAAUUAUUGGGAGUAUUAUCCAGAAAGUUUCCAUUCCAUUUCUUCAUGCAAGUGUAGCUCUAGUGAAACUAGCAGAGAUGGAGUACUGUGGCACUACCAGUUACUUCAUCAAGCUACUUCUAGACAAGAAAUAUGCUUUGCCAUACCGGGCGCUUGAUGCAGUGCUUGCUCAUUUCAUGCGGUUUCUUGAUGAUGAGAGAGUCAUGCCUGUUAUAUGGCAUCAAUCACUGCUUGCAUUUGUGGAAAGAUACAAGAAUGAAUUGGAGAAAAAGGAUAAGGAGAAACUUGCACGCUUGUUGGAUCACCAGAAGCACUAUUUGGUUACUCCAGAAAUUCGAAGGGAACUUCGGGGCAGCUGCAACAGGGGUGAAAAAGAUAAUAAUCUGCAGACUUCCUCGCCUAUCUCCGUUAUCACAAAGCCUAUUGAGGAAGACAAGUGGGACGUACCAGAAGUGCCAAUGGAGGAGGAUUAGUCUGUUCGAAUAUUUUUCCACAGCUGAGUGUCAUUCCCCAUUGUCAAUUUUUGCACAACUUUAUUGAGUAACUUUAUAUAUAGAGAAUUGCUGUAAUGAACAUUUAAAUGUUUGAAAUGAACUUGCCAUGUAAGAUGUCCUAAACUCUAUAUGUUGUGGUGGGGCCGACCUGGAA